GUGUCAGCAGCCGCGGUAAUACGGGGGGUGCGAGCGUUGUCCGGAUUCACUGGGCGUAAAGGGCGCGUAGGCGGCUAGCUCAGUCGGGCCUGUAAGUGCGGGGCUCAACCCCGUGAUGGGCCCGGGACGGGCUGGCUGGGGCGCGGUCGAGGGAGACGGAAUGCCGGGUGUAGUGGUGAAAUGCGUAGAGAUCCGGCGGAACACCGGUGGUGAAGACGGUCUCCUGGGCCGAGGGCCGACGCUGAUGCGCGAGAGCGUGGGGAGCGAACCGGAUUAGAUACCCCGGUAGUCC
rnacentral:rRNA from 1 species